GGGAGGUAAACAAGAUGGCGGCGGCGUGUCGGGCGCGGAAGGGGGAGGCGGCCCGGGGCGCCCGCGAGUGAGGCGCGGGGCGGCGAAAGGAGCGCGGGUGGCGGCACUUGCUGCCGCGGCCUUGGAUAGGCUGGGCCCCCCUCGCCGCUCCGCCUCCUCCACACGCGCGGCGGCCGCGGCGAGGGGGACGCGCCGCCCGGGGCCCGGCACCUUCGGGAACCCCCCGGCCCGGAGCCUGCGGCCUGCGCCGCCUCGGCCGCCGGGAGUCCCGUGGAGUCCCCGCUGCCGCGCCGCCCCGCGGACCGGACGCUGAGGGCACUCGGGGCGGGGCGCGCGCUCGGGCAGACGUUUGCGGGGAGGGGGGCGCCUGCCGGGCCCCGGCGACCACCUUGGGGGUCGCGGGCCGGCUCGGGGGGCGCCCAGUGCGGGCCCUCGCGGGCGCCGGGCAGCGACCAGCCCUGAGCGGAGCUGUUGGCCGCGGCGGGAGGCCUCCCGGACGCCCCCAGCCCCCCGAACGCUCGCCCGGGCCGGCGGGAGUCGGCGCCCCCCGGGAGGUCCGCUCGGUCUUCCGCGGCGGAGCGUUUGCUCCUGGGACAGGCGGUGGGACCGGGGCGUCGCCGGAGACGCCCCCAGCGAAGUUGGGCUCUCCAGGUGUGGGGUCCCGGGGGGUAGCGACGUCGCGGACCCGGCCUGUGGGAUGGGCGGCCCGGAGAAGAUUGCGCUCGGCCGUGUUCAUGCUUGUCCGUGGGCCUGAGGUCCCCGGAGGAUGACCUAGCACUGAGAAGCCCCGGCCGGCCUCCCCAGGGUCCCCGAGGACGAAGUUGACCCUGACCGGGCCGUCUCCCAGUUCUGAGGCCCGGGUCCCACUGGAACUCGCGUCUGAGCCGCCGUCCCGGACGCCCGGUGCCCGCCGGUCCGCAGACCCUGCACCGGGCUUGGACUCGCAGCCGGGACUGACGUGUAGAACAAUCGUUUCUGUUGGAAGAAGGGUUUUUCCCUUCCUUUUGGGGUUUUUGUUGCCUUUUUUUUUUUUCUUUGUAAAAUUUUGGAGAAGGGAAGUCGGAACACAAGGAAGGACCGCUCACCCGCGGACUCAGGGCUGGCGGCGGGACUCCGGGACCCUGGGUCCAGCAUGGAGGUGGUGGACCCGCAGCAGCUGGGCAUGUUCACGGAGGGCGAGCUGAUGUCGGUGGGUAUGGACACGUUCAUCCACCGCAUCGACUCCACCGAGGUCAUCUACCAGCCGCGCCGCAAGCGGGCCAAGCUCAUCGGCAAGUACCUGAUGGGGGACCUGCUGGGGGAAGGCUCUUACGGCAAGGUGAAGGAGGUGCUGGACUCGGAGACGCUGUGCAGGAGGGCCGUCAAGAUCCUCAAGAAGAAGAAGUUGCGAAGGAUCCCCAACGGGGAGGCCAACGUGAAGAAGGAAAUUCAGCUACUGAGGAGGUUACGGCACAAAAAUGUCAUCCAGCUGGUGGAUGUGUUAUACAACGAAGAGAAGCAGAAAAUGUAUAUGGUGAUGGAGUACUGCGUGUGUGGCAUGCAGGAAAUGCUGGACAGCGUGCCGGAGAAGCGUUUCCCGGUGUGCCAGGCCCACGGGUACUUCUGUCAGCUGAUUGACGGCCUGGAGUACCUGCACAGCCAGGGCAUUGUGCACAAGGACAUCAAGCCCGGGAACCUGCUGCUCACCACCGGUGGCACCCUCAAAAUCUCCGACCUGGGCGUGGCCGAGGCACUGCACCCGUUCGCGGCGGACGACACCUGCCGGACCAGCCAGGGCUCCCCGGCUUUCCAGCCGCCCGAGAUUGCCAACGGCCUGGACACCUUCUCCGGCUUCAAGGUGGACAUCUGGUCAGCUGGGGUCACCCUCUACAACAUCACCACGGGUCUGUACCCCUUCGAAGGGGACAACAUCUACAAGUUGUUUGAGAACAUCGGGAAGGGGAGCUACGCCAUCCCGGGCGACUGUGGCCCCCCGCUCUCUGACCUGCUGAAAGGGAUGCUUGAGUACGAGCCGGCCAAGAGGUUCUCCAUCCGGCAGAUCCGGCAGCACAGCUGGUUCCGGAAGAAACAUCCUCCGGCUGAAGCACCAGUGCCCAUCCCACCGAGCCCAGACACCAAGGACCGGUGGCGCAGCAUGACUGUGGUGCCGUACUUGGAGGACCUGCACGGCGCGGACGAGCACGAGGACCUCUUCGACAUCGAGGAUGACAUCAUCUACACUCAGGACUUCACGGUGCCCGGUGGCGAGGAGGCGUCUGAGGCAGGGCUUAGAGCGGAGCGCGGCUUGCAGAAGAGCGAGGGCUCAGACCUUUCAGGAGAGGAAGCCUCGCGGCCGGCGCCGCAGUAGUGCCUGAGGAGGAGCUCAGGGCCUUAGCGUAGGGGCGGCCCACAUUGGCAGCCAGCCCCUCCCCGCCAUGCUCCCGGCUUGGCUGUGUUCGGCCCAGGGCUGGGCCGUGUCAUAAAGAGUUUUGCAGUGUAUCUGCAGGUGGAUGCUUGCUGCGCUCGGGCUGGAGCCUGAGGGGGCUUUCUGUUUUACUGUUUCAGCGGGAAGUGGUGGGCAGGGGCCGGCCUGAGAAGGGGGGUACGCCAGGCAGGUUGGGAUGUGAGGGCCCAGUGCACAGGGUCCACCCCCGGGCCGAGGGUCCCAGAAUAGUGGGGGCCCUGCAGAGAGCCCCCCAUUAGGUCCCUCAGCACUCCCGGGCCCCUCAUCAAACCCCUAGGCUCAGCUCAGUAGCUGGUCCCCAGGAGGGUACAGUGUGGGGGCCCCCGAGAGCACAGUGUAUGGGGGUCCCCGGGGGGUACAGUGUCUGGGGGGCCCCCCAGGAGGGUACAGCGUGCGUGGGGCCCCCAGGGUCACAGGGUCUCGACUCCUGGGCUCUUUGGAUUUGCAGCACCACGACCGUCGCAUCUGGUCUGUUGGAGUUGGGAGGUGCUGCUGGGUACCUUGGUCACUGGGGUGUGCUGGGAGGUGGGGGCCCCUCAUGGUGCCCAUCCUUGGGGCCUGGCUGCAAUUUGACCCCAGGCCCAGGGUCUUCUGCCUUUCAGAGCCCUGGUGCCCUGAGACGGGCAGCCAGGCAAAUCCCAGGCAGGAGGGCCAGUUAGGGCAGGUCGCCAGAGUCCCUACUGGGACGUGGACCACAUGCUGACCCCCACGGCCGCCCCUGCAGGCCAGGAUCCCUGAGCCAGGACCCGGCACUGGCUUCCCUCCUGGGGACCCUCAGGCCUGUGUGAGACCUGGGCUGCCCUGGGGUGAGGUGCCUGGGAGGAGAGCAGGGGCUGGGCCACCUUUUUCAUGACCCUGCUAAGCCCACUGUGGGUGCUGAGGAGGAGUACCCAGCAGGGGGAAGGGCCGCCGGACCACUCGGCAUGGCUGAGGCCUCAGUACUCAGUACUGGGUACUCAGGUGGACGCCCCUCCCACUGCUCAGAUGCUGGGGACAGCCUCAACUUCAGGCUUCAGCGUGAGCCCCAUCCCUGACCUGCAGAGCCCCCUUGCAUUGGGGCAGGACAGCCCGGCGCCCUCGGGUCAGGCCAUCCUCUGCACUCUGCCGGGGCUGCUGCAUCGGCCCCUGCGUGCCUCCACUUUGGCCCCACAUGUCCCUACCCAAGAUGCGGGUCCUGCUGCCAAAACCCAGAUCCCAGGGAAGGGGCUUGGGCUAGAUCCUGGGCACCAGUGCAGACAGGAGUGUGGGGUGGGGCAAGGGCCCAGUGGCGGCUGUGCCCACUGAUGCAGAGCUGGGGCACCUUGUCCACAGGGUCUGCCCCACCAGAGACGGGCUGGGCGCAAGCUCAGACCUAUGGGUGCAGUUGGUGCCUCCUCACCAAGGUUUUUUUUAUCUUUUUUUUUUUUGGAGACAGAGUCUUGCUCUGUCGCCCAGGCUGGAGUGCCGUGGUGCGAUCUCGGCUCACUGCAACCUCCACCUCCCGGAUUCAAGCAAUUCUGCCUCAGCCUCCUGAGUAGCUGGCAUUACAAGUGCGCACCAGCACGCCCGGCUAAUUUUUGUAUGUUUAGUAGAGACAGGGUUUCACCAUGUUGGUCAGGCUGGUCUCAAACUCCUAACCUCGUGAUCUGCCCACCUCGGCCUCCCAAAGUGCUGGGAUUACAAGCGUGAGCCACUGCGACUGGCCCAAGGUGCUUUUUUAAAGCUAGUGACUUCCUGUGCACAUGGGGUGGGUGUGUGGCAAGUUCUGGAAGCUGCUGAGUCAGCUACUGGUCCCUUCUCGGAGCUGGGGCUCUGCACUGGGCACAUGAGCUCUGGGGCAGCCCGGGGCGGCCUCCCACUGACUUCGCCCGGGAGGGGCCUCGGGGAUGGCUCAGCAGCCAGUGUGUUCGCGGAGUCCUCGCCAACCACCACGGCUCCUGGCAGGGACAGUACGUGGGCAGCUUCCUGCACUUCCCCCUGCCAUUGUGAGAACAGUGUCCACCUGGGCAGGGUGAGCAGCCCCAGGCCUGUGGGUUUCACCGGGGUGCUGGUGAUAGUUGGUGGCUAGCAGGGACUGGGGGCAGCUGGGGGCCCUGGCAGGCUGAGCUCUGCUCCCCGCAUGGUUCUGUGCUGGCAUUUCGCGUGCCUGGCCCGAGCCUGGCCCUCCUGUGUCCUCACAGGUGAGCAUGUGGCGGUUCCUGGGCCUCUAGAACCAACCAUGGGCCAGGGUGCCCCAGGGGAGCACGGGAGGGUCCUGUCCUGUCAGCUUGCCUCCUACUCAUGAGGUCCCUGCAGUCAGUACCUGGGUGGGGUCCCACCUGGGGCCAUGGCAGGUGCAACAGACGUGGUGGAGGGGACACUCCUGCCCAGGCCAUCUGCGGGAGGCUCAGCCCCGGGGGGUGCCUCCCAGAGCUGCUGGGGGGCAGCAUUUCAGGCUGGAUACACCUGGGCCUGACCCGGGGGCGGGCAUGGCCUGGGCGGCAGCUGUAAGUGCGUCCCCGUGGUGGGGGCCAGCCAGGUCCCUGUGGCUCUGGGGGUGCGCCCCUCAGCUCAGGCCACACUUGCCGUCUCCCUCCCAGGACAGGUCCCAGAAGAGGAGGCCAGUCAGAAUGGACAGCGCCGGGGCCUCCCCAAGGCCGUGUGUAUGAACGGCACAGAGGCGGCGCAGCUGAGCACCAAAUCCAGGGCGGAGGGCCGGGCCCCCAACCCUGCCCGCAAGGCCUGCUCCGCCAGCAGCAAGAUCCGCCGGCUGUCGGCCUGCAAGCAGCAGUGAGGCUGGCCGCCUGCAGCCCGUGUCCAGGAGCCCCGCCAGGUGCCCGCGCCAGGCCCUCCUCAGUCUUCCUGCCGGUCCCGCCCGCCCUCCCGGAGAGGUGGCCGCCAUGCUUCUGUGCCGACCACGCCCCAGGACCUCCGGAGCACCCUGCAGGGCCGGGCACGGGGACAGCAGGGACCGGGCGCAGCCCUCCCCUCGGCCGCCCGACAGUGCACGCGGCUUGUUGACUUCGCAGCCCGGGGCGGAGCCUUCCCUGGCGGGCGUGGGAGGAGGGAGGCGGCCUCCAUGCACUUUAUGUGGAGACUACUGGCCCCGCCCGUGGCCUCGUGCUCCGCAGGGCGCCCAGCGCCGUCCGGCGGCCCCGCCGCAGACCAGCUGGCGGGUGUGGAGACCAGGCUCCUGACCCCGCCAUGCAUGCAGCACCACCUGGAAGCCGCGCGGCCGCUUUGGUUUUUUGUUUGGUUGGUUCCAUUUUCUUUUUUUUUUUUUUUUUUUUAAGAAAAAAUAAAAGGUGGAUUUGA